rnacentral:rRNA from 1 species
UUUUAUGUGGGACGAAAUUAUUGACGGUACCACAUGAAUAAGGGGCUCCUAACUCUGUGCCAGCAGGAGCGGUAAUACAGAGGCCCCAAGCAUUAUCCGGAAUCACUGGGCGUAAAGGGUGUCGAGGCGGUCGUAUUAGUCGUUUGUAAAAUCCGUGGGCUCAACCUACGGCGCGCAAGCGAAACGGUACGACUUGAGGUUGGGAGAGGUGCGUGGAACUCACGGUGUAGGGGUGAAAUCCGUUGAUAUCGUGGGGAACACCAAAGGCGAAGGCAGCGCACUGGCCCAAAUCUGACGCUCACACACGAAAGCUAGGGUAGCGAACGGGAUUAGAUACCCCGGUAGUCCUAGCCCUAAACGUUGCUCGCUCGUUCUACGGAGUAUCGACCCUCUGUGGGACUAAGCUAACGCGGUAAGCGAGCCGCCUGGGUAGUACGAGCGCAAGCUUAAAACUCAAAGGAAUAGACGGGGACUCGCACAAGCAGUGGAUCAUGUGGCUUAAUUCGUCGAUAAGCGAAGAACCUUACCCGGGCUAGAAAUGCAGCUGCAUCCCACCCGAAAGGGAGGGAGCCUUCGAGGGUGCUGCACAGGUGAUGCAUGGUUGUCGUCAGUUCGUGGCUUGAGCUGUUCCCUUCAGUGGGGUAACGAACGCAACCCUCGUUGUCUGUUAUAUAUGUCAGGCGAGACUGCCCCCUCACGGGGGAGGAAGGUGAGGAUGACGCCAAAUCAGCAUGUCCCUUGAUGCCUGGGGCUGCACACGUGAUACAAUGGUAGGUAACAGAAGGACGCAAUACCGUAAGGUGGAGCAAAUCCCGAAACCCUACCCCAGUACGGAUUGAGGUCUGCAACCGACCUCAUGAAGCCGGAAUCGCUAGUAAUCGUAGGUCAGCCAUACUACGGUGAAUACGUUCUCGAGUCUUGUACUCACCGCCCGUCAACUCAAGGAAGUUGGG